rnacentral:lncRNA from 1 species
AAAAAAUAAUCGCCAUUUCAUAUCAACAAUAUAACGAGUCCCAUUACUAUACUCUUACAAGUAUGAUUGCCUUCGUAUUUAUAGAUCGUUUUCGAUUAUAAACCUUCCGAAUCGACGAUCCAUACCAUUAAAUAUUAUCUAGAAAAUUUGAAACUUCUAAAAACUAAAUUUUAUAAUUUUUCGACAUCAUUUAUCUCACGAUCAAAAUAUUUCAAAAUUGACAACUUUUAACUGCCGGUAUGAGAUAGUUGCUAGUUUAAUAAUGUAAAAGAAUCAAAAUGGAUUGAAUUUUUGGUAGAAAAAUUCUAUUCACUAUUUAAAAAAAUCAAUAACUCCGAUCUUAGAUUAAAGAAUUCGAUCCUCUAAUUUUAUGAGGUCGUUCAAUAUUGAUUGUUCGUUUUAUGCCAGCUUGAUGAACUUUAUUAUAAUUUCAAAAAAUUCUGAAAUUAGUUUCUAAAAGUUUCAUAUGAUUUAGAUCAUAUUUAACGAUAUGAAUCGUCGAUUUGAAAAAUUUAUUAUCGAAAACGACUUAUGAGAACGAGAACUCUAUACUUGUAAGAGUUUAGUAGUCCUACUCACAAUCUAACUUAAUUUAUAAACAUCGUCGCAUGCUGAAGACAUACAACUUGCCAAAAAAAUCAAGCAUAUCGGCCACAUGAAAUUUUGCAGAACAAAAGGCAUACUUCUGUACAAGGAGUCGCAAUUUACUUGGACUCAAAAUUAGAAAAGAUUCCAGGACAACCAAUUAAGAUUGUAUGAUCAUCUGAACCGGUGACCAUUAGUUACGACAAGGAGUGAUUUAAAUCUACAGAAAAGUAUCCUAAGAUGUAGAUAUAGACAAAGUGUGAAAAGAAUAUAGGGUGAAAAUUAAGAGCACAACAGUAUCUUGAAAGCAUGACCCGUUUAACUUGCAAAGCACUAUAGUGACAUUUUGAUCCCUCAAAUUCAUGUCACUGACUAGUCACCAAAAAACCAUCUUUCACCGCUAGAAUUCCCCCACUGAUCCCGUAUAUCGAAGGCACAAUUUACACCAAAUUGUUGCUUUAGUACCCUCAAAAGAACAGAGGUGAUUUAGAUAGACUCCAUCCUGGAAUAAAAAUUGAUCAAUAGGCUCCACUCCAUUCCAAAGGACGAACAUACUUUCUAUGUAGUAAAGAGAUCCACUCCCUGGUAAAACCCUCCUGUGUUCCUUUUUGAUGAGGAGAAGUCCAAAUAGGUUGGUGCACCAAUUUCAUUUUGCAUCUCAUAAGACAGAAGGGGGCACUCAGCUAAAAGUUCAGAUACAAAAUUUACUAUACAUCGAGGUCUAUAGCUGGACUGAUGAUAUAGCAUCCUGAGCCAUAGUACAAUAUGCGCUCUACCAACAUAGAAUAACCCAACUAGAAAAACAGCUAAAAAGAAAGAAAAGAGGAUUCUUGGGAGUAAGGGAGCCUACCCAAACUCUUCUAAACAUAGUAAAAGAGAAAAAAUAAAAAAUAAAAGGGGGGUUAAAAGUGCAUGACAUGGACUGGGGCCCAUGGAACCAAUCAAAGACCUGAUCCCUCUUUAAAUACAAGCUGCCAUGGACCAUAACUCAUUCACUCAAGAUGCUGGGAAUCAGUACUAAACUCCAUUAAAUUAAAAGGGAACACUGACCCAAUCAUGUUGGCCAUUUCAUGAAUGAAUGAUUGCAUUCUAAAAGCCACACCUCUCCUUCGGCCCUAUCCCCCCCCCCCCCCCCCCCCACCUUCCCUUCGGAGCACAGAAGAGUUCAUUAAUUGAUUGUUCAAGACCAUCUGACCUCACAUGAAGUCCUCCACUGUGCACUCAGUAGAUCUCAGUCCCUCUCCAGCAAAUCCACGCCAUAUAAAAACAUAGGCCAAUUCCCUAAUCAUCACAGUUGCAGGCGAAAGGGACCUAUUUGGAUGUCAGAAUAUUUUUUUUUUUGAGAGAUGAUGUCAGAAUAUAUUACUUGUAGAUAACUUGUGCGGUUUGGAGAUUUUACUUCGUAAUUGCAAUCUAGAAAUUUUAUUUCAGUCUGUUAUAGAGUGCUCAUAAUUCUGAAUAAUCUAAUCUUUAUACCAGACUUUAUCAUCACAUUCCAAGAAAACCCAUAUACUAUAUUGUUCUGGAUAUUUCGCACUCCCCAUCAACCAAUUACCAAAUGCCCUUUGAUUAAGCAAAUGUGACGCCCCCAACUUUCCAAGGGGAUCACCAAUCUUAUGACUACUCUCAUCUUAGCACGCUUAACUCUCUUAACCUCUUGGGCCUAGCCGCCAUAUAUGCUUAAGUCGGAUUAAGAGUUUUAGUCCUAUUAUAUCUUACAUAUAGUACUACCUGGGGUCUCACAUUCUCUUCCUCCUUAAGCCCUGACGUCCUCGUCAGGCUCAAACUUACAAAUACCAGGUGAUGUGAUACUCGUCUCGCUAGCCUAAACCGAUCUUGUGGUGAGCUGCGCUCCACCCACAAUAGUCAACAGUAUGAGAGCCUCGCUCUUUCCGCUGUAUAAUCCUAGCUUAGCCGAAACUCGUCUCACACUUCUGGCUGAUAAUUAACUCUGAUAUCAACUGUGACGCCCUAACCUUCCAAGGGGGUCACCCGUCUUAGGACUACUCUCGUCCUGACACGCUUAACUCUUUUAAACUCUUGGGCCUAGCCACUACCCAAAAUGCAUAAUCCGGGUUAAGAGUUUUAGCCCUAUUAUAUCUUACAUAUAGGACUAUCUGGAAUCUCACAAAGCAAUGCACUAUACAGAAUUUUUGUGCAUACAAAUAGGCCGAAAAUGUCAUUAAUAUUUCUAGCUCAUAAAUGAAUAGCUCAAAUUGAAGGAUUCAAAAUCUAAGUCAAGUGCUUAUGGAAAAGCAUACGGGAUUGAUCCCAUACUUUUGGAUACUCAAUGUAAGUUAGGGGAGAAACUACUACCAGUUACAAAAGUUAAAAAAAGCCCCCCCCCCCCUGCCGGGCCCCCACAAAAAAAAGAAGAAAACUGUGGACACGGAAAUAACCAUUUGCUUUGCCUUGUGUCAGGGGUAAUUAAAUAGGGAAGAGAAAGCUAACAGUUAAAGAGUAUAAAGCUCACAGAUAACCCAAGACGAACUAUCUGCUGUACAAGCACUGCUAUGUGAGGGGUAAAAAUGCCUAGGAUUAAAAGAUGACUGUAACUGAUUAUGAUUUAGGACCACAACCUAGUCCUUAAGGAAGCUAGAUUUGUAAAGACCCAAGAAUGAUACGGACAAAGCCAAAUAUAAUGAGAGAAUAGUUGUAAGAAAAAGGCUUGCAGAUCAUCCAAAAGUAGUAUUUUGGGUUUUUUUUUUUUCUUUUUCCCUUCCAAAAGUACCCCAUAUUUUAUUUGAAAACUAGAUAAUUUUUAUAAUUUUCACAACUUCAGGACAUAAUUUUCCUUUCUGGACUAGAGUGAUCCUCAGAGUGGGAAAAGUUUUGCAUAAAGGUUGUGUUUAUAAAGAAUUCAUUCUCAUAUAACCUCUUGGUGCAUUUUGAUCCAUAAAACGUAUUCCGGCUUAAAAUUAAUAAUCGUAAGAGUGGACUAAAGAUAAAAAACUAAAUACAAAUAGAAUUUUAGAGCAAAAUGGACAAGUAUCCUCUUGUCGAAUCCUCACCACCCAACAUUAAAUAUUUGAAGAGACGUAGAAAUAUUUGAGAUAAUUUAUGAACAACAAUAUAAAGGCCUGGCAUAGGUUAUCUCUGUAGAUGACGAGAUAUUUUAUUAUAAUGUUAGGAUGCCUAUGAAGCGACAAAAUCGUUGCAAAGAGCAAUGAGAAACUCAAUUACCAAUUUUCAUGCGUAAAUCAUGCUGUUGAUGUCAACACAGUAAGUACUUAAUAUGAUGAAGAGUUACACCAGAAUUGAGAAUUGCCGGUCUUUAAAGCCUAGUUUGGUAAUGUGGUGGCUAAAAGCACUUAUUUUAUGCUUUGAAAGGUCCAAAAAUAAUAGUUCUUUGUAUUUUUUGGGUCUUUCAAAAUACAAAAUAGGUACUUUUAGCCACCACAUUAUCAAACUAGGCCAAAAUUUCACAAAUAGCUCUCACUUUUGUAAUAAAGUUAUUCAACUUUUUUCUUAUACAUUAUAUUUUAACAAAUUACCUUCUCUCACCCUCUAAUUCUGUUUUUAACCAGGUCUUUAAGGUCAUGGUUUUGGGCACUCGUUGUGAGCUAUGAAAUUACUAAUUUUCUAGCUAAUUCCUGAUCUAACCAUCUUUAUCUCAUGUGGAUCACAUUGCAUCAACAACAAGCAACAUGCAUUAGGGAACAACCCAAGUUACUUUUGACGUUCUACAUGCUAAAUUUUGUGUAUGGUGGUAUAUCAAACGCAAAGGCAUAAUAAAGAUGAGAUAGAUUGAUGUGCUAAUAUUGUCCAUACACCAAAAAGAAAGAGUGACCAGAGAAAGUAACUUGUGGUCUAAAGAAAAGCAAAUUCCUAAUAUUCCCACAAUACUGCCAAAUACUGAUUUUAUUUUCGAACUGACAUGAAAAUGAAUGACAGUUACACUCAAUCUCAAUAUGAACUAUUUUAUUCUUCAUGCGAAGAAAGGUAAUGUAUUUCUUAACAGAAAACAAUUGACUAAUCAGUAAUGACAGUAUUAUACCUAUUUAUAAUUGAGCAAUCAGUAAUGACAGUAAUAAACCUAUUUAUAUAGCCCACCAACCUAUUGGAAACCAAUAAUUGAUCUUUUUCUCCUUAAUUUAGAUUAAGUGCGUCCUAACACAAAACAAACUAAUUGAAGCAAAACAACAGCAGAAAUUCACAAAUUUCUUAACAAAUAUGAUAGGGCUAAACCAUAUGGUAGUAUCUAUAUCUGUUUGGUGACUGUUAAUAUGCAAGUAUAUGAUGAAAAUCUUACAUUUCUAAGUAAUAACUGCAAAAAGAAGAAUAGCAUGGUACGCAUAGGAAAUAAAGCAUGCUAUUUGGUGGUCAUUAGUAGGAAAUAGCAUACCUACUGGGACUGAGAGCCUUUAUGAGCAAUAACUGGGAAGAAGGCCACCUUUCAUCAAUAACAACCCAUGCUGAAGAUGAAAAAAGAAUGACAUUUAUGAGAGUAGGAGAAAAUUUUCUGUUCAAAUUCAAGAUAUAAAGAACUUUGCAAUUUUUUGGUGGAAGUAGAUCUAAAGUAAGUUUUUACUCUUAGCCUGCUAGAGAUGCUAUCGGAUCUGGUAAGAAAUUGAAUUAAGAUCCAACCCAUUUACUACUGAUAUUUCAGUAAAUAAACAAUAUAAAUAAGCAUGAUAUAGAGGAAAAUAAACAUUUGUUUUAGAUAGUUCUAGUGAUGUACAAAAAGAAAAUAGCAUCCUAGGCCUUGUUUGGUAUUGUGUUUAUUUUUUUAUUUUUUUAACAUUAAAUUUUAGGGAAAACUUCAAAAACCCCCCCUGUGGUUUCGUGCAUUCUCACUUUGCUACCCUGUGGUUUAAAACGUAUCAAUUUACCCCCUUGUGGUUUCAUUUUUAUCUUUUCGGAAGCUUUUUCGUUAAUAUUUCGUUAAAUUAUAUACAAAAAACUUCAGAUAACCAUCUAUAUUUAUCGAAUAGUCACUUUAGUAUCCUUUAAUUUUAACUUUGUCACUGAUUUUAAAAAAAAAUAAUAAUAAAAUUGAUAACAAAAAGAUAAAAACGAAACCACAGGGGGGCAAAUUGAUACGUUUUAAACCACAGGGUAGCAAAGUGAGAAUGCACGAAACCACAGGGGGGGUUUUUGAAGUUUUCCCUAAAUUUUAUAUAUCAAAAAGCGUAGGAGUGGAUAGUGGAUUGCUUGCAAUCCUUUCAUCCAAGGUCUUUCCUUGACAACAAAAGACAAAAACUUGAAAACAACCUUUUUUUGCUUCCAAUUUUUUUUUUAAACUAAUUGUCAUUUAUCACUUAGCCGAAUGCAUUUGUAAACUAACCAACUACAACAAUAAAAGAAAAGUCUUUCCUCACACAUCAAAUAUAGAAUUAGUGUUUAAAAAGUGAAAAAACGGCAACGAUACCAAACGUGUACUGGACUUUUUGUUAACUAUAUUCUAGUGUAAUAGACUCAAAAGAAGAGAAGAAAAAGCUUAUCCAAUUGUUUUUUUUAUUAAAAGGGAAAAAAAACAUACCUAUUGGACGUAAGAGAUGCCUUUAAAAGCCUUCAAUUAGCAAUGGCUUUCCCUCAGUGAUAGCUCACUAUAACAAACUAAAUUGAAGAUUCCAAAGUAAUGGCAUAGCAUGUACGAAUAAAUUAGAGAAAAGAUUCUGUUCAAAUUGGAAAAGUAACAAUCUUUGCUAUGAUUUCAGUGAAAUAGAUGGAAAAGCAGUUCCUUUGUUAUCGCCCAUGAACCCAUGGCUAACAGUUGCAUCACACGAUCUCUGGAUGCUGUAGAUAGGCUUUUCCAUUUGGGGGGCCGUAACUUAUUAAUGCCUGGUGUAAGUGUAUCUAAAGAGCUCCCAUACCUAUAAAGUAGAAAAGGAAAAAAAAAUUAAUGUGCUUUCUCCUUUAUUUGAUGAAAGACUUUGUCCUCCUUUUACUUUUCAUGUGUUUUUCUUUGAACCCCUUCCAUCAAUACAAAUUCCAUCAUAAAAGGGGCUACUUUCCAAUAUUAACGAGGGUCUUUCAGUAACAUCUCUUGGUACCAACCAUAAAUACAGAUCAAAAUCUUUGGACGACAUGUAUGCUAAAAGCUAAGGAGUUAGAAGAAUUAAGUAAACAAACAUACACACAACGAAAAAUCCAGGGACAACCAUAUCACGUACAGAGGUUCUAUAACAUUUUUGUGCACCAAAGACUAAAGAGCAUCUAACACUACUUAGAGCAAUGAUAGGACCACCAAAUUGCAAAAUCAUAUACGUUACAGUGUUCUAGUUGACUUCAACAGAAUUGCGAAAUAAGUUCCGGCAGAAAUUAGUUCUAAAUAGACAGAAGGGAAAUUGAAGUAAUAAAAAUCUCAAAUAAAUAUUGAUUGUGCUUCUAUUGCUCAACUCACCAAUUAAAUGGGUACAUAUUUUUUAACAUGAAACUGUCAAACCUCUACACAUGAUUCUGUAGCAAUCUGUGUGACAUAGCAUGCUAUGGUUGAGUCCUUUAUAUGCCUUUCUACGCCUUUUAGUAGAGCACAAUGUUCUAACUCAGCAUCUUGCAACAGUCCAUAUAACAUCAUAAUGCCUUUAAGAUGUACACUUUUGAUCAGUCAAGAGCAACUCAAUACACUAGUGCAGUAGUAUUAUGAUCAUUGAGCUGUAUACCUUGAUCAGUCAAGAAAAGAAGAUACAGUAAUAGUACUGAAGAAAACUACAGAUGAAGCCAAUGUAGACAACCAGCCAAAAGAACAUGCGAAGAAAAAGAUUAACAAGAUAAAAAGUUUAUGCUCUUCAUACAGAAAUACAGAAGUCAUUGAUCACCUCCAAUGAUGAACAUAACAAAGAAAAAGCCAUAAACUGCUAUAAAGAAUUCCUUAAAACAAGUCAAUUCAUUAGAAUUCUCUACUUUCCUCGUCAAAAUGACUCACUUGGUAUGACUAAGUUUUGAGUGUUGGGGGACAAAUUAACAAAAAUGAUGUAUUCCUACUACACAGCCAUUAAAGUAACCGGUGUUGUGGAUAAUGAACUACGAUUUUUCUGCAAAUUCAAUCUUAAAAAUACUCAAUUAUUAUGAUAAGUUAUAGAGAAGUUUCUCUUUUCUCGUUUUUUUUAAUUUAAUAUGUUGCAAAUAGAUUUAUUGCGAAGAUAAUGAACAAACAAAUUUACGCAGACAAGGUUUAGCAUGUCAGGGAUUGGUGGGGCAUGUUACAAUGCCGACACUAUAUCAGCACAGUUGUUACAAUGAAAGUAAGAUUAAAUCAGUGGCAUAUAAUAGGUACAUAUUUCAGAUCUGCCUGGACUACAUAAUUCAUUGCGUGAUUAAACUUUGGUAAGAUUAAAACUACUGGGGUAAAAAUAGGUCUUCUCUUGAUUUAUACUAGUGAUUUGAGAAAAGUUACAAAGAGUUCAUGAAAAUUCGAUUAAAUCAGCAGAAAAUAAUGGAAAACAUCCUAAAUCUGCUUACACUACAUGAUUCGCACAUUUGCAUGAUGAAACUUUGUAAGAUUAAGAAUCUUAAGACACAUAAUAGGAUUUUACCUAUUUUGUACCAUCAACAUGAUUAGCAUUAAAGUAAGAGAAAAUCAUUUGACUAAAUUAGUCAUAGAGAAUGCAUAGAUACUUCACAGAUCAUUAUUUUACUGAUCAUAGUAACUGAUAGCAGUCACAGAUUAUUAUUUUACCUAUCAUUAUAGCUGAUAAGACAAUGCAUAAAUAAUUUCUAUGACGAAAUUGUAGGAGAAUGAUUUUCUCUUACUUCACAGAUCAUUAUUUUACUGAUCAUAGUAACUGAUAGCAGUCACAGAUUAUUAUUUUACCUAUCAUUAUAGCUGAUAAGACAAUGCAUAAAUAAUUUCUAUGACGAAAUUGUAGGAGAAUUUUUUAGUACCAAAUCUUUUCAACAUCACGAAAAUUGGUGUGCAAUUCCGUUCAACAUAACUUCACAAAAAUUGGUGUGCAAUUCCAUUUAUUGUGAAAACAUAGUGGUGUGAAUAUACAUUUUGAAGAAAAUAGGAAUAGAUUCUAAAAAAAAUGUCAUUUAUAAUAACUAUCACUGAAUUAUAUGUAUUAUGAGAUAUUCUUGCAUUCUUUUCAAUCUAAUCACAUAGGUCUUUACAUAUUACAUGCUUUGUCAGUAGACUCAGUGCUAACAUCAUAAUAGAAGAGCAUGUCCCAAUGAAGAUAUGAUGAGACCUGAGCAAAUCCUGCCCCGCCCACCAACUUGGCCCACAAUGUGAUCUAUUGUAGAUCACGUCAGGCUCAGCAUGGUUCGUCUAGCCGGUCAACCUCAAAUGUUGAGGCCCAAGAAAAUGCGAGGCUGGCCCAAGUUUAUCAUUUCUUUGGUUAACCCAGCUUGUCCUGAGGUUUUACUACUCGAACGACCUGGCCCGCUCAUUUUGGAUCGAACAGAGGCAUACAAAUUUAUAAAAUUUCCAAUCUGGGUUUUCAGCCCAGAUAUGAUGAUAUAUAUGCCUAAACUUCUAACAAAGACUUUGCCUUCUCUGCAAUCCACCACUAUUUAAUUAAAUUCUCAGCUGUAUUGUUGUUAGUAGUAAAAUCCUCUUCAUUAAUGACAUGGUGAGAAAUUAGAUUUAUGCAAACCAUUAGUAGAAGCUGGUUUGUCGGUGCUUGCUGAAUCUCCCACGCAAGCAAGUUUCUUCAUUAUUCAUUUCUGCUUAUAACAAUUUCAUAAGAAUCAGUGGGUUUAACUUAAGACAAUCGUAUACACUUACAUACCAGUAACUACCUACACAUGCACAUGCAUGUACUUAAUCUUUGUGACGUCAUAAGAAUCAGUGGGUUUAACUUAAGACAAUUGUAUACACUUACAUACCAAUAAAUACCUACACAUGCACAUGCAUGUACUUAAUCUUUGUGAUGUCUUCAAACUUGUAGUGCACCCUUUACAAGGAGUUUAUAAAGCUAGAAUGAUUGUACAUAAAUACCAAAUAUACAAAAUAAAAUGUGUUGUAGAUUUUAGCAAGCAGCAAAUAUAUGUGUACCAAAAAAACUGUUAAACUGAUGGAUGCUGAUAUAUGCGAUUCAAUACCUCAAUGACGGAAAGAGCAAAGGGAUCUCCAUUCUUCAAGUCCAUCUUGCAAAUAUCAGCUCAUACAUGAAGACCACUCGAAAGAAAAAGCAUAGCAUCAGCAUCGCGGAUUACUUUAUUGCCUUGUACUGUCAGUUACCUGGUUUAAGGUUCCAAGUACAGGAAAAGCCAUAGCAUCAGCAUGGUGGGUUACUUUAUUGCCUUGUUUACUGUCAGUUAGCUGAUGAAUUACUUAACUGACUUGCUUACUUUACUCUCAGUUACGUGGUUUCAGGUUCCAAGUAUGGGAAAAGUCACAGCAGCAUGGCGGAUUACUUUAUUGCCUUGUAUACUGUCAGUUAGCUGAUGGAUUACUUUACUGCCUUGCUUACUUUACUCUCAGUUACAUGGUCUAAGGUUCCAAGUACGGGAAAAGGCAUAGCAGCAUGGCGGAUUGCUUUAUUGCCUUGUUUACUGUCAGUUACAAAACAAACAAGUAAUGUGUGCUACAACAAUUUUUAUUUGAUCAGUUUGAACUUGGAGUAAUCAACAGUAGUAAAUUGUUGGUUUAAUCUAACAUAGGAUCUUCCUUCCAACUAUUUUAAUUGCUUUUCAACACCAUAGCAACAUCUUUUUUCCACGAGGACUGCAUUCUUUUUUCAAAAUAAAAGAAAGAAUCAUAAACAGUACAGAUGAUGCAAGAACGCUUCUACCAACAAGCUUAGGUUGCCAAACAACUAUGAAAAACUAUAUAUCCUGUUAAAUCUAAUAAAGAAUGUAGAUAGUUCACUGGCAACGAAAGAUUGCAGAAAGUAAAAAGAUGCCAUUUCUUAUGUAAGCAGUGUUCAAAUUAGGCAUUUAGAACUUAGAAGCAUGAAGGAAAGCCUUUGAGUUGAUCUGUUCCUAGAAAGACUGGGACAACGCAUCUGAAGCACACAAAUGAGGUGGAUUCAACGCGUCAUUAGUUAUGAUGUCAACAGAGUAGAAGUGAGAAACUUCGUGCCACAACCAACUGAUAAACAUUAAAUUGUAGCAAGUCACAAAAGCAACAAAUGGCACCAUCAACUUACAGAAUGGCAUCUAAUGAUGCUUCCGAUGCCAUCUAUAUCUGGGCCAUCAUACGUCCUGCUCAUUCACAUAUAUCUCUUCAACAUCAACACCAUCAAAUAGUCCCUACAGAAUUGACAACUUAGAGGUUACCACAAAGAAUCCAUGCAUAAUAGAGUUCAUGUGAAAGUACUAACGCGUACACCUCAUUUUCUUUAACGCUGGAUCUUCAUCCAAUGUUAUUAUGCAUUGUCAUACACUACUUGUCUGGGUUAGAAUUCAUGUGGCUGCCACUCCAAUAAUCAGAAAGCAUUGCAUAUGUGAAAUAUGAAACUGCAGCAUUUGAAGAGCAUUAUUUUUAUCCAGAUUCUGUACUUCCAAAUAAGUUUUACCCCUCAAGAUGCUCCAACAUGUUUCUCAUUACCUGUCCAUGCAGGGCACAUGACUUUAUUAAGGCCACACAUAUCUUUUCAAUGCCAUAAUCACAAAAUAAAGAAGGUAAUACCUACAAGUAAACAAAAGUAACAAAACUGGAAAAAUCUUACAUAACGAAAUUCCUCAUGAUAGCAGUAUUGAGGUUCAAGGAGGCGGCUUUCAUAUGUAGUGGAUUGUGAAGUUUAUUGUCUCAUUUUUAUGAAUGUAGUAACAGCAUGUCAAAACAUCUAUGAGGCUUUUAUUUUUUUACCAAAAUUUAUGUUUGAUGAAUUUGCACUUAAGUCAUUUCUGCUGCAUCAUUAAGGUCCCUUAAAUUGCUAUUUAUGGAUAGACAUAUCGCAACCCCAAAGAAGAUUCGACAGGACUAUAACUAGCAGAUAAAUAAUGUAGUAACAUUUUUCCUAAUUGACAAACAAAAGCACCACUUUAUGUUCAGAGACGGAGAGAGAGAGAGAGAGAGAGAGAGAGAGAGAGAGAAACUGUGAGAAUGUAACACAUUCAACCUGAAUAAAUCAUGUGCAAACUAAUUUCUCUAGUUCAUCCAGUUCCUCGGCCUUUAGGUUUUGUUCACCUCACACCGCUUUGAGUCCAAUUUUUUCAAAUGUUCUGGAGAUCAGAAAAAUAUACUAGCAGUAAAUUUCUCAAGGUAUAUCACUUCUGAUCUAAUUUCAGCUCCUUCUGCUUCAUAAAUCAUAAUCCAUCCGAGUUCCGCACCUGCCAAGUGUGCUCCAAUUUCAGCUACAAUUCUGAAGUGAAUGAGAAAUACCCAACUUCAAUAUUCAAUUGUGCCAUAGUAACCAAGACACAAGAAAUUCCAAAGGAGCUCUUACCUUGAUACUUCUACAUUUUUUUUUUUCAUGCUAUAUUUUCUGAGUUAGGACUGUAUAAGUUCUACUUGAUCAAAAUAAAUAGAACAGAGAAAGAAGGCAGCAAAAAAACUCUUUUUUGCAGCCAAAAAAGCAGGAUUUUAUCAGGUUUUUUCCCAUUGAUAAGCUACAUCUUAGUAUCUAGACUAGCUAGAGCAUUUGAGUGAAGAUUAGACACAUUUAAAAGUGGUAGUGAUCGGCCUGCCUUCACUCUUUUUCCUCUGCAGCAUGCAUGCAGAGAGAGAGAGAGAGUACAACUACAACCUAAAAUAGUUACCGGAUCUUUGUAGCUCCUGUUUCCUUUUGUUUUUUAUGGGCUCUACAUUUCGUUAGGAUAGCAAAGCAAAGUUAGGUAAGAGAUGUAGGCUAGGUUAAUGGAGAACAUGGAGAAAGCCGCGUUCACCGCAUGAUUUCCAGUUAUUUUGUUUAUCAGGAGUGAGAAAACCACUGUUACAGCCUUACCUGAACUGGCCACGCAUCCACUUUAAUGACAAACAACCCAGGACAAAUGGAAGAACCGAGAAAUAAUUCUAUAAAUCAAAUAUGAUGGCAGCUCUCACCUGAGAUGGAGUGGGAGGAGGAAAGACGAUGAUGUAAGGGGCGCGCAAUACCCUCGAUCUCGAAAAAUAUCCAUGAAAAGAUAACACAGGGAAACAUCAGAAAUAAAUAGAAGCAAAAAAUCAUGUAAACUAAAAGAAAAGAAAACUAAUCUGUGCACCUAUUGGUCCUAUGUUGUGGAAAGAUGGCCAUCCCAUGCCAUAUGAUGUUUUACCGAAAGAAACCUAAGAAGAGAUCAAGAGCCCAAAACAAACAAGGGAUGGGCAUUGCUCUCGCCCGGUAUGGUGUUCCAGGAAAGAUGGAGUAGGUGACAAAUCACGUCCCUUGGAGUCCCACAUAUUUCAUUAACGGAACAAACAUUGGAAACUAGUAAAUAGAGAUCAAAAUCGUGUUAACUAAAAGCAGAAGAAAACUACUCUGUGAAACUAUGGAUAUGGAUGCAGAUAACAAUCUGAAUCAUAUAUGAUGAUCAACCGGAAAAAAGAAAAAACACCUAAAAACAGAGCAAGAAUUAAUGUAAUCAACAGCGAUAGCUCUCACCUGAGAGCGCGUGCCAAGAAGAAGAAGGAGUAGCCUAUUAUAUCUUGAUCUCCCCAAAAUUUCAUGAAGAGAUCAAACAGAGAAAACAUUAACAAUGAAUAAAGACCAAAUCGUGUAAAAUAAAAGAAAAUUAAAACUAAUCAACGAACAUAUGAAUUCCAUUGUAAUGAAAAGAUAAUCAUCUCACACGACGAUCCACCAAAAAAAGAAAAGAAAAAGAAAAAAAAAAAAAACCCAAAAAUGAUCAAGAACUAACGUAAUCAACAACGAAUGCACUGACCUGAGAUGGCGUGCCUGGAAAGGAGUAGGCGAUGUAUCACAUUUCUCGAUAUCCCAUGGAUUUCAUGAAAAGAUCAAACAGAAAACACAUUAACAACAAAUAGAGAAUAAAAUCAUGUUAAAUAUAAGAAAAAAUAAACCUAAUCUGCGAAAAAGAGAACGAUCUGAACCGAUGUGACGAUAUACCCAAAAAGAAAACAUAAUUAAGCGGAUCAAGAAUCCAGGGAAGAUCAAAGGCAAGUGAUCGAUACCCUAAUGUAAUCGAAACUAACAUUUUCUACAAGCAAAUGUAACGAUUGCUCUCACCUGAGAAGAGUUCUUAGAGAACGACGCCCUCUCGAACGCCUUCUCCCUUCUUCUUCUUCUUCUUCUUCUUCUUCUUCUUCUUCUUCUCUCUCUCUCUCUCUCUCUCUCUCUCUCUGUGUCUUGGGGCGAAGAAGCGCUCUCACACUCCCCCUUCGUCUCCUUUCCUCUCUCUCUCCUCCCAUUUCGUCGAGCGAGUAAAAUCUCUCGCCCCGCCGUGUUUAUAUAGUAAGCGAUACGACCGUUGAAGCUUGAGAACACGUGACAGCGCACGUGACGCGGCAUUCCCAGAAUAAACUAGGAUCACGAUUGCAGAAUAAUAUAUUUUAAAACAUGGUAAUAUUUUACGAAGAAUUCUCGGCCAUAGGCAGUUUCCAAUCUGAAAAUGCUACCCGAACACUAUAUAUAGGGGCAUAUAUUUUACACCUUUUAAUUCAAAAAUUAAAAUUUUUAACAUUUUAGUAAAGAAAUUGAUAACAUAAGUAAACUAAUGUGAACUACAAGAAAAGUAGGAUAAGCAGUUAUUAUAAAUUUUACACGUAAGCAGUUUUUAUGAAUUAAAGAAAAAAAAAAACCAAAUAGCAAAAUUCAUUGUUCCAUAGCUAAAUAAGUGAUCUUAAUAGUUAAAUUCAAUGGUGUUGCCAAAAAAAUAUUUACUAAAAAUCCUAAUUUGAUUGAUAAAUGACUUAAAUUAAAAGAAUAAAAAGAAUAUUAGCUUUUGUAUAGUAUAAAUUUUUAUUCUAUUUUUUAGCGAACCUCUAACUAAAUCUCAAAUUAGUGACAUAUUUGGUUCAUUGAUAAUUUUAGUUCUUACCGCACCAAAAUGAAAUAAAUUAUCCUGAAAACUAUAAAGUAUGAUUCAUCAAAAAGGAGAUCUCUUUGUCUGGUUUAGAACUAUUGAUAAGUUACUGUUAUUUAGGUUGAAGUUCAUAGGCAAAAUUGCAUAAUACCAACUCAUAUUAGUAAUACUAGUGUUAAUUGAGUCAAGAGCAAAUUACAGAUUUUUUUUUUUAAAAAAAAAAGGGAUAAUUGAGAUGAAUGAAUAAAGUGCGAGGAAAGGUUUUGUAAUGUAGCAGCAAAUUAAGCUCAGGUAUUUUUGUAGUAGAGUAUGGCUGGGAAACUGAUUGCAAUCAAUUGGUUGAGAAGCAGAACCUUCGAACUGGCAUGGACACUACGAAAUCUUAUUAUGAGCAUUCACCAUGAAUUAGAGGACAAAAAUAAAAUUACAUUAUUUUAAAUUUCUAUUUUUGCAUGUUUUUUAAAAACAAUCGACACAACUCUUGGACAAGGAUGUUUAUGCUACUUAUGAAAACCUCGGAGGUUUCGUUUUUGCAAGUUAUUUCGGCCUCUGACCAUUUUUUAAUUAAUGAAAAUUUUUAAUUUUUUUAAAAAAGAAAAGCCAACAGAAAAGGGAAAACAUUUGAUGAUGGGCCGUGACGAGCCCGGAGUGGCAACGGGCCGAGCCCAUCAAGCGUCAGGCCGGGUUAACUUUAAUUAAAUAUUUUCUCUUUUUUUUUAAAAAAAAUAUAACUCGGGGAAGAAUAAAGAGGUCUAAGCCUCUCUCUCUCUCUCUCUUUCUCAACUCUCUUAUCCCUGGCGAGUUGAAGCGAAUUUAAUGGCUCUGUUACUGUUAUACUAUGGUCUCCCGACUUUGAAGAUCCCCAACGGAGCUUCAAAAACACUAGUGAGAUCGUCGUCGUCUUCGUCGUCGUCGUCGUCGUCAACGGGAAGCCCAAACCCUAAUUCUCGUGCUCCUCCUCCGCGCCUCUCAGGGGAAGGAGCAUCGGCGCCGAAAAGAUGCUUAAGAUGCGGCACACUCUACUGGGAUAAGGACAACUCCCCCACGGCUUGCUCCUUCCACGGCCACACAACAGGUUCUAGUAGAGCUCUUCCGUGGAGAUCCCAUGUAUUUCACUCUAUAUUAGUAAUACAGUAAUAAGCUAGCUUAUGAGCUAAUGAUAAAACAGAACAAAAUAAAAAUAGAUGAAGAAAAAGGAAUCAAAUACUUCUGGAAUGGGCACAGCAACUGGGAUUGAGCUCAACAAUUGAGUUUUGUUUGGGCCUAACACUAUCAUGUUUUCAGAGUAUUGUUUAGAGCAGGAAACGUAACUCAUCGAAUUCAUCCGUUAAUCUCCUUUAACUAAACAACAGAGCUGAAUCAAGUUCUUAUCGAGGCAGAACAUCUCUGCGACCAGUUGCUUAGUAUUUUUUAGUGAAUUUGCGCAGGGGAGAGAGGGCUGUUCUCGCUGGCGCCGCCGCACCAAGGGAUCGACGGCGAGUGGAGCGACAGGAGCGGGAUUAUUGUAUACCGGUGGAACGAGAAAGGGAGCAGGCCCAACACGGGGAGUGCGAACUGGAAGAAGAGAUGGAGCUGCUGCGCCGAAUACGACGAGAACGCUCCACCGUGCCGGCGAGGACGGCACGUCUCCUACGACGACGGAUUCACGCUCUACUAGUGCAACUCAGCUGCUAGCGAAAUUCAGGAUCCUAGGAAUACUCUCUAAACUUUUAUAGCUUUUAAUGCUUACACUACGAACAUUAAUUGACACGGUAAACUUGAAUUUUCCGUUGUGCUCUCAACGUACAAAUAUACAAUCUCCUCUCACCCAUCAUCAUUUUGAUGUUACGAUCUCAACGUCUCAUAUGCACACACGACACCGCAAUCAGAUCAGGAAAAUCGAAGGUAAAGCUAAUCAAGACGAUGAGGAGGAGGAAGAGGCGGGGGUGUCGGCGGCGACGGUGCGGAAAGAGUGAUGGAGGCGGCGGAGGGUGUCCUGGUCGCGGGUCCACUCGGGGUUGGGCGCGGUGACGAAGUGGGCGUAGAGCUUGUUGCGGGCGCAGGUGACGGAGAUCAAGCUGUGCGCGGCGGCGCCCUCGAUCUCGUAGUCGUAGUAGAGUUGGCCGCCGUCGUCCCUGCGCUCGCGGGAUCGGACGGCGUCGGCGGCGGCGAUCUGGUCCUGGAGGGCGACGUCGGAGAGGGCGAGGUUGUUGAGGACGUCGUCGACGGGGGCGAGGGCGCGGAGGCCAGAGAGGAACGUGAGGUACUCGCGCUCGGAGCGCUUCUUGGGGUUGAAGAACUCGCUGUCGGUGCCGUUGGUGCCCUUCUCGACCUUGGAGACGAGCCGCUCCUUCCACCCCGCGGGGACCUCGUACGUGUACUCCGCCGAGUCCUUCUUGCUCGCGUUCCCGCCGUACCCGCCGUAGUUGGCGGCGCUCGCGGCGGUGCCGUAGUAGAUCUGGAAGGACGAGGAGGGAUCGCCGGCGGCGGCGAGGGAGGAGGAGAGGGGUUUGGUGUUGGUGGUGGGGGUGAGGGGGAGAGAGGAGCGGGGUUUGGGGAUGGGGUGGGCGGAGGUGUUGGAAGGGGUGGAGAGGAGGGCGGAGGGGAAGGAGAGAGUCGCCAUUGCUGGGGAUUAGGCUUGUGAUGAAGGAGAAAGGCGAGAGAUUGGAUUGGAGGUGAUGAGCUUAACUGUUAUCCACAAAACGAAGAGGUCGGGGGUUUCGGAGAACCAGGCGAUCGAGAUUUUGACGUGAUAAGUGCCGCUUCUUAUAUAUCCAAAACAGUAAUGCUAGUCCUACAAUCAAAUUUUAGUUUAAUCAUACUAUUCUCUACAAAUCCGCCUUUGUUUGGUGAAAUGUUCUAAAAUUUUUUAUAAAUUUUUGGCAAACUUAAUCGAGGAGUAUAAGAUUUUUUAUUAUUAUUAUUUUAUUUUCUGAGAGAGAAAAUUGCACCUAAAAUUUUUAAAUAAAUGUACAAAUAGUAUUGUUUUUUUUUUAAUAAUAAAAAAAAAAACUCUUGCUUAGUGGAUAUGAAUGUUGGACCAUUCAACGUGGUGGAAAUUUCAAAAGAACGUAUGUUACCUGGGCUUGAGUUUGGGCCUUUAGAACAGCUUGUGUGGUGUGGGCUUCAACUAAUACUGGCGGUCCACAACUGUGAAAAUUACACGGGCCACAAAAACUUCGGAUUCAACUCUUCAAUGACCCACGCUGGGACCAGGCCAACCUAACUAAAUAAAUUGUACAAUUCAACCCACUUUAUUAGUUUCAUAGCAAUUCGGGAGAGGCCAGGAGUUGAACAAUUGUAGGAAUCCGAAUCAUUGUUCGUUGCCGACGCUCCAUUAUAAGAUAGCUGUUGGAUUCAGGCGCCUAAUUUGAUGGUGAUCCGAUCCCCUCCUGCGUAAGAUUCGGUCAAAACACAUCCACUCACAAAAACCAGAGGAUCUUCUACAAACGUAUAUUACCAUACAACUUACUUAAAACCAAUGUAUUGGCGCCACGUGCCCCGGCUGUAACAUUUCAUGCAUCCCAGAACUCAACUCCUCCAUAGAAAGUCCAUAAUUUUAGGAUGGCCACAAAACAGAAACCGUUAAACAGUAACGGACCCAGCCAACUAUCAGCUCUAUAAAACCCUCCUUGAUCACCCCUUCCUCCCUCAGGCAAGCGAAAUAAGGAGAAGCACACCCAAAUAGAAUAAANUCCUUCUUGCUCGCGUUCCCGCCGUACCCGCCGUAGUUGGCGGCGCUCGCGGCGGUGCCGUAGUAGAUCUGGAAGGACGAGGAGGGAUCGCCGGCGGCGGCGAGGGAGGAGGAGGAGGAGGAGGGGGAGGAGAGGAGGAGGACGGAGGCGGCGAGGGCGGAGGCGAGGGAGGAGGAGAGGGGUUUGGUGAGGGCGGAGGGGAAGGAGAGAGUCGCCAUUGCUGGGGAUUAGGCUUGUGAUGAAGGAGAAAGGAGAGAGAUUGGAUUGGAGGUGAUGAGCUUAACUGUUAUCCACAAAACGAAGAGGUGGGGGGUUUCGGAGAACCAGGCGAUCGAGAUUUUGACGUGAUAAGUGCCGCUUCUUAUAUAUCCAAAACAGUAAUGCUAGUCCUACAAUCAAAUUUUAGUUUAAUCAUACUAUUCUCUACAAAUCCGCCUUUGUUUGGUGAAAUGUUCUAAAAUUUUUUAAAAAUUUUUGGCAAACUUAAUCGAGGAGUAUAAGAUUUUUUAUUAUUAUUAUUUUAUUUUCUGAGAGAGAAAAUUGCACCUAAAAUUUUUAAAUGUACAAAUAGUAUUGUUUUUUUUUUAAUAAUAAAAAAAAAACUCUUGCUUAGUGGAUAUGAAUGUUGGACCAUUCAACGUGGUGGAAAUUUCAAAAGAAGGCAUGUUACCUGGGCUUGAGUUUGGGCUUUUAGAACAGCUUGUGUGGUGUGGGCUUCAACUAAUACUGGCGGUCCACAACUGUAAAAAUUACACGGGCCACAAAAACUUCGGAUUCAAAUCUUCAAUGGCCCACGCUGGGACCAGGCCAACCUAACUAAAUAAAUUGUACAAUUCAACCCACUUUAUUAGUUUCAUAGCAAUUCGGGAGAGGCCGGGAGUUGAACAAUUGUAGGAAUCCGAAUCAUUGUUCGUUGCCGACGCUCCAUUAUAAGAUAGCUGUUGGAUUCAGGCGCCUAAUUUGAUGGUGAUCCGAUCCCCUCCUGCGUAAGAUUCGGUCAAAACACAUUCACUCACAAAAACCAGAGGAUCUUCUACAAACGUAUAUUACUAUAUAACUUACUUAAAACCAAUGUAUUGGCGCCACGUGCCCCGGCUGUAACAUUUCAUGCAUCCCAGAACUCAACUCCUCCAUAGAAAGUCCAUAAUUUUAGGAUGGCCACAAAACAGAAACCGUUAAACAGUAACGGACCCAGCCAACUAUCAGCUCUAUAAAACCCUCCUUGAUCACCCCUUCCUCCCUCAGGCAAGCAAAAUAAGGAGAAGCACACCCAAAUAGAAUAAAAGACUCCUUUUCUCAUCUCCCGUCGAAGGAAAAGAGAAAAAUCUCGAAAAAUCUCUUAUCACCGGCAAUGGAGAUGAGGAAGUUUGCCUCUGCCGUCCUCGUGGCCGCCGCCUCGGCCACCGUGGCCUUUGCAGCCGAUGCCCCGGCUCCUGCCCCCGCCAGUGCAUCCUUUGCGGUCACCCCUGCUAUCGGUGCUGCGGUCGGAGCUUCAGUUCUCGCCUUCUUUGCUUAUUACCUCCAGUAAACGUUACUGGGAAAAAACAAAAAAAAAAAAAAAAGAAAGAAAGAAAAAGGAAGACAAAAUGUAUGUUGAGAAACUUUCAUUCUCUUUUUUCUUCUUUCUUUCUAUUCUCGUUUGAUUUGAUUCCUACCUCAAGUGCUUUUAUCUUCAAUUUACAAAGACCUGAGUAGGAUGAGAUAUAUUUGGGUGUAAUUUUGCGAUAGACAUGAAUAAAAGACCAUCGAGAUUUUAUUGAUCUUGCUUUGCUUUUCAAUGAACCAGAUCGCGUCUAACUUAUUUCCAAAGCUCAGUAAGUGGACUAUCAUUUUCAUGCCAACUUCUUCCAUGCUUUUCCAGUUCGAAGUUCAUUUUUAGAUCAUAAACUUGAUUAGGCCUAUGCUUUGUAUGAGUUGUUCUGAAUGGUGACUUGACUUAUUUGUUCUUCCAGUGUUACACAACAAACUCUAAUAUCUCUCUUUCUCGCACUCUAACCUGACCCAUUAUUAGUCACUAAUAAUUAGAAUUUGGUCAAACUAGCUAGCUAGUUAAUUUUGGGGCCCAUAUAUAUAUUGGAUAAUCAGAAGAAACAAAGAUAAAUAAUUAUUGUCUUUGCAUGCUCGGCCAUGCAUAAAAAUGAUAAAAAAAAAUAAUAAUUUGAAUUACGAAUAUUUCUGAUGAUUUCUGAUGUCGUGCACGAUAGAGGUGAGAAAUAUUUGAAUUAUUGCGCAAGAUGAUAAAAUUGUGGAGUUAAAGUUAUAUUCAUAUUGAAAAUUCAAACAAAUUUAAAAAACUAAAAUAUGUAAUAAAAGUACAGGAGCCACUGAGCCAGCUUGUAGUAUAGAAAUGGAAAUAGUACUUUGAAUAUCCAUUUGCGUUUGGUAAAAAGUGAUGGCGGAAAACUAAUACCAGCGGCGACUCUGCUCAGUCUCCGAAUGUCGCAAUAAGCUCGCGCGGUAUUAAUUUAGUCUCCGAUCUGCUGUUGCGGAGGCCGUUCAUCAGCAACAAUGGCCUCCUUCCUCUCUCUCAGAUUAAACCCGAGCAAGCUGUUCUCGCUAAACUCCCCAAACCCUAACCCUAAUAUCUUCUCCGCCGCGCUCUUCCGAACCGCCGCUAACCUCAACUCUCUCGCCAUUCCGAAACCCUCACACCCCAUCUCCCUCCCGUCCGCGUCAGAUCCCACUGCCCUCUCUAAAUUUCUACUACUAUACAAACCCACAAACCCUAAUCCUCUAAAACUCAGAUCCCCUUCCUUUCUCCCCUUCCGAUCCCAUUUCCUCUACAGGAACCAUUCCUCGACCCCGCCGGAGAGCGGCAGCGCCCCCGGAGACGAGACUCCCGCGAGCGGGAGCGGCGGCGGCGAGCUCCGGCACCAGGAGAUCGUGGGCCCCACGGUGGAGCGCGACGUGUCGGCGCUGGCGAACGAGACGCGCCAGGUGCUCGACGCUAUGCGCAAGUCGGUGUACGACCUCAGCUCGGCCCUCGCCGUGCUCGGCCUCGCCCACCUCGGCCUCGGCGCGUGGAUCGCCUACUCGGCGGGGCGCACCGACGACGCGGUCGCCAUACAGGGGCUCGCCGCGUUCGGGUUCCCGUUCUCCUUGGCGUUCUUAAUGCGGCGGACGCUGAAGCCGAUGAUGUUCUUCAGGAAGAUGGAGGAGCAGGGGCGGUUGCAGAUCCUGACCCUCGCGCUCCAGGUCUCGAAGAAUCUGAACCUCUUGUUCCUGAGGACACGUGUCAUUGCGCUGUGCUGCGCCGUUGGAAUUGCGGCGGGGUCUCUGGCCGCGCUGUGGCGGCGGCAAGAUGGGCUCGCCUCAGAAUCUUGAUUAGGUAAAUUUUUUUGCCUUUCCCCCCCUUGUUUUCUAAUAAUGAAUGGUGACAUAGAUGCUUAUAAAGAUGAUGGCUCGUUUGGUAUAUAAAGAAGAUAUGUUAAUCUCAGAGCACUUUGGCUCGGAUUCACGUGUCAAAUUGAUACUUUUGAUAUAUCGUGUAUGUUCCGAAACUUGUGGCAACCACGAAGAAUUUACUUCUGGUAAUUUUGUUUAUUUAAACUGCAUUCAGAUUUGCUGCUAUCCAAAGAACAUCUCUGGUAAGAGAUCUAAAUUUGUUAAGCAUACUUUGUUAAGAUGUAGUAUUCAGCGUUGAUUAACUAGUUCCUUCAUCAACCAUCUUUAUUAGUUAGUAGUUGAUCACAUGGGCGGCCUCACAAAGAUGACGUCGACGAUCAGUUAGUAUUCAGGUCAUUUUGCUGUUCUGCUAAUCACGUGAAACAUUUCUUAGUAGAAGAGAAUGUGUAUAGACGAGGAGUUACUCUGUUAAGUUCUAUCUUUUUGGCUGGAGUUUAUACAUAUUUGGAUUGCUCUCUGAAGAAUUUUUCUUGUUGCAUAUAUGAUUUUAUGAUCAAAAGUACAUUACCAUGAAGGACACACAUGCACACGCGCACACGAAUGCAAUGGAUUAAGACAAAAAGCAUCCUUUGCAUUUGUUUAUUUGAUUUUUAACCCUUAGCACAACUCCAGCAAUCAUGGAAACAUUGUAUUGGUUCUUCUCAUGUUUCGUAUCUUAGCAGAUUUGUCAGCGUCUGCAAAUCUGGGUGCCGACAUGAGACUCUUUGUCAACCAGAUUGCUGUUUCUCUAGAUGAUACAGCUUCUUCACCAAAUGGCUUUAAAACACCAGCAAGUUCCUCGAGCCUCUCUUGUUCUAGCAGCUUUGCACAGAGUUCGAGGAGAGAUUCCAAAGCAUCAGCUCUUUGUUGCACAAUGUUCAAACUAUCCCACUCAACCUGCGUGGUAUCUCCGUGCGCUAGUGUUAACGUGCUCAUUGAUGAAGCUUCUUCUACGACCUUUCCCACUUCAUCAAUGUCAGUUUUUGUUCUUUGGGGGGUAGGUUUACUAACAGUCAUUGUUGGGUCAGCUUCCUUUUCACUCUUCACUGAUUGCUCACUUGUUUCGGCCAUGUUGUCUUCUUGAAUUCCAAUUGUGUCAAUCGGAACCACCUUUACUGAAAGAGUGCUACUUAGAGCUUUCUUUACUUCUCCAGUACUUUUAUCACUCAGUAACUUAUCUCUUGGUUGGAGGUGCUGCUCUGUAUGAUCUUGUUCAUUGUUCGAGUGGUCAACGGCGUAUAUAUCUGGAAUUUCAUCGGUAGAAGCAUCUGAUUGAGUCAUCGUAGCCCGUUCUUUUGCUUCUUCUGAACUUUGCGACUGCUUUUUGGAGUCUCCUCCUCUCUUACCAUUUCUUGUGUUUUUGGGAGCUUUACUUCGUUGCUUCUUUUCCUGUUUCUCUUGUGACGUAUUGCUUGUAGACUUUAUCGGAAGGUAGAAUGAAGAGGGACUGCAUAAUUCCGAAAGAUAUGGUUGCAGAUAGGGUUGCCUCAAUAGUUCUGCAGCCUAGAACAUAGGAAACUAUCAAAUCACUGAAGUGUGGUGGAAUUUAAUUUACUUACGCACAUUAAAGUUUUGGAGACUUACAGUGGGCCUGUGCUCUGGAUUCUUUCUUAGCAUGCAUUUGAUCAAUUGCUUCCUGUAAUACACAAGCAGCUCAUCUUUAAUAAGCUGUAUUGAUACAUGAUUGAAAGCAUCAAAACCUAAUAUUUUCGAUGAAGCAUCGUAAGUAAAUUGUUGUGAAAAAUGAGUUUGAUCUAUUUGCGUCAGGAUAUUUACAAUUCUGGUGAGUAUGUGGUGGGCAUGGGGGAAAUGGAAGAUCUGUUUAUUUUGUUAACCAGUCCUGUUAUGUCCUGUUUGCAGACAUUUAUAUCAAUAAGUCAGAAAUUGAAUCGAUUCAAUAGUUUGUAAUGUUAUUGCCUUAGGUCAAAGGAAAUGCGAGACAGAGGAAACUCAUAUUCACUCACCGAAGCUCGGAACGCAGGGCGAUGCGCCAUAAUCUCAAACAUACAGCAACCUGAAAUGUUAGGAAAGAGACAUAAGAAGCGAAUUUUGAUAGUUUCCCGUAGAAAAGUAGAUGGCUGUAUUCGACUAUAUUAAGACAAAUCUCACCCAGGGACCAGAUAUCGGAUUUGUAGCCAUAAGGUAUGUCAGCUAGUAUCUCAGGGCACAUAUAGUUGGGAGUUCCUACAACCUACAAAAUUAUGUCAAGAAUUGUUGAAUAAUGCAGUACAGUUAAACAGAUACUCAUACUGCAGGUUAUCUCGCAAAACUUUUGUUUCCGUAAAUACCAUAAGAUAUAAGGGACACUGCUUGUUCACCCAAAAAUUAUGGUAUCUGGCUACGACCUUUUCUAGGAUUAUAUACUUUCACCUACUUACAGAACUUGUAGUAUGGAGGAAAUUAACAGGCCGUACCGAAGAAGUAAGGUCUUCUGCGUUGAGCAAUUUUGCGAGCCCAAAGUCUCCUGUGUUACAGCAAUGAAAGCGGUUUGGUAUUUUCAUGAUUUUGUCAUUACAAAUUAUAUGUUUAGGUGCAAAUUGUAGGAUGAAGCGUAUCUCACCAAGCCGAAUAUUGCCGUCCUUUGUUAAGAAUAUGUUAGAGCACUGCAAUGAAAUAUAAAAGAAGUCAAUCGUAACGUAACGCAUCGCAUCGGUAAAAUGUCAAGAAGUUGUUAAGUUGUUUUUGUGCGGUAAGCAUUCGGCCGUGCACGUGUGAAUUGUUGCUAAUAACCGGUCGUACCUUGAGAUCGCGAUGCAGAACUCGGUUGGAAUGCAGGUAAUCGACGGCCAAAAGUAGCUGUGCCAGCCAUCUGCAGACCCUCUAUUAAGACAGUAAGAAGAAGCAGAGAUGAUGUUUUUUUACAGUGAGAAAUAUAUAGAUCACAGUGACGUACAGGAGCCUGAGAAGCAAUAGAAUGGUCUUAGGUUUUAACCUUACCUCUUCAGAGAAGGGUACUCCUCUCGCCUUCUUUAUCUUCUCUGCACUGUGGGACCAAAUACUAGAAUUAGAAGAAUAUUAUAUGUAGAAUAGAAGGAAGGUUUGAUUUUUCCCAGCGACAUACAUGUCACCCCCGUCGCAAAAGCUUGUGACUAUACACACCGAAUUGCCCUGCACGGAGAAACCCAUAUAUUAACCCGAAAACUACUUUACUAAUUCAAACAUUAAAAUAAGCCAAGUUGUUUCCUAUCUCUUUAAUUACCUCCUCCACCCAGCCGUCCUUGUACUCCACAAUGUAGGGGUUGAUUAGACUCGCCAUCAGAGCCAUCUGUGUGCCAUCGGCCCAAAAUUUGACGGUUACGAUUCUUCUAAAAAUUAGAACAGCGGAUCGUAGAGAGAGUAAGGACUAGCACUACCUCCUGAUACGCUGUGCGUUGGAACUUCUCCGUCUGCUUCGUUAAUCGUAUCCUCUUCAACACAUACCUAAUAAGAGAAGAGAAGAUGAUCAAAAUCGACAAAUCAGAAACGGUUCAAAGGGGAAAGCACGACGAGAGAGAUGGACGGCUUGCUCACCUCUUGCGGUCGGCCUUGUGGAGCACGAGAAACGCGGCUCCGAAGGAUCCUCUCCCGAUCUGCUCCAGCACCUCGUACUUCUCCUCUCCUCCUCCUCCUCCUCCUCCUCCCCCCUCCAUCCUCUCUUUGUAUCCAAUGGAUUUCCUCACCAUUCUAAUAUAAGAAGAAUAUAAGAGAGAGAGAGAGAGAGAGAGAGAGAGAGAGAGAGAGAGAAUAUAAAGGACUCAACUCACAGCUUACGAGCGGGGUAGAGUUAAUUAAACAUCUAAUGGCUAUCACGCGGGAGCAAUGAGGAGAGAGAGAGAGAGAGAGAGAGAGAGAGAGAGAAAGAGAGCGAGAGAGAGAACUGAUCAUAAUAAUGGCUCCGUAUGAAAGCGAGAGAGCGAAGAAGCUUGGUGGAGGAGAGGAGCUUCUUUCAUUCGUUCCUUUUCUUCUUUUCUCAUUGCUUUUGAUUUUUGAUGUUUUUUGUUUUUCUUUUAAAGCGGGGGAGGGAGUAUUUAAAAUGGGAGAGGAAAGGGAGAACGAUGAAAAGUUGGCGUGGAGUGGAGGGGUUGCUUGCGAUUUGAGCGUGCGGGGAGGGAGGAUGAUUGCUUUGAUAGGAAUGAGUGGUUGUUGGGGCGUCGGUGUCCGUUGGAUCAGAUGAUUUGGACUUUUAGGAACCGGAUCGGCCGUGGAUGUUGUAGGUUGCAGUUUGGUUCACUUGCGGUGGGGGUCGGACGGUGGGAGUUCGUUGUUGAAGCGGAUGCUUCUUUGGCAUGUAAUUAUUAUUAUUGUAACCAAAAACAAAAAAAAAAACAAAAAAACAAAAGAGAGAGAGAGAGAGAGAGAGAGAGAGAGAGAGAGAAAGAAAUCAAUUCUAAAAAAAAAAAAAGGCAAUCUCAGGAUAAGGACGUUACAGAGCAAGAGAUUUCUCUUGUAGAGAGCUAUUUCUCAUGCUUAUUUGCUCGUUAAUUUUAUAGAAUAAAAGCGAUAAUAAAAAAGUACUUGGCCCAAUUAGAGAUGUCAACGGGCCAGAUUCGAAGCGGAUUUUUAAAAAUUCGAAUUUGACUCCAAACCCGAACUGAAAUCCGAACCCGACGGAUUUUAAAAAUUCAUAUCCAAACUCAAACCCAACCAAAAACUCGAAAUCCGAAUCCAAAAUAAUUAUUUUUUUUUAAUGUUUCAAGAUAUAUUAUAUUAAAUUUAAAAUUUUAAAAUAUAAAUUCAAAUAUAAUAUCAAAUUUUUAUAUACAUAUUAUAUAUAAUAUAAAAUAAAUUCGGAUUCGAAUCGGAUUCGGAUCGGGUACAGUCAAAAUCCAUAUCCGCACUCAUAUCCGUCAGAUUUUUAUUUUUGAUAUUCAUAUUUGAAAUUCUAUUCAUUUAGCAUCGAAAAUUCGCUCUGCUCAUAUUCGAAUUUAGAUAAAAUUUCGAAUAUUUGUACCCAUUGAUAUCCAAGGCCCAAACUGGAGAGUUACCACGACGAGUACUUUAGCCGCGGUAAAACGGGUAAUAACAACAUUAGUUGGUGGUAGAGCCGGAAAUGGACCAAACUAGCCCCACCAUAAGACAAAUCCAAAAGGAUGCUAAAGAGCCAAUUCUGACUUAGUUUUGCCAACUAGCAGGUCACCCAUCAACGUCUAAUAUCUUACCCUUAUCUCCACCCCCAACCCUUGUCCAGCGUGACCAUCUAGCAUCACAUUUUCGUGGGGGGAUUAAAAAAAAUCACACAUCAACUUAGUUUCAUUUUUCUUAAAAAAAGAAAUAAAUAUUGAUAAACGGGUACAACAAACACAUAACUGUUGGACCAAUACGACCCAAUCUUAGCAUGCACAAAUGGAAGCAAAGUUGAUGAAUGCUAGAACUCAUUCCAACAAGAAUAAGUGAUCCAGCUAAUUGGACGGACUACUAAUAACAAAAGUCCAAAAGUUACGGUUCAUAUUACCGAACACUCAAAUGAACGGAAGAACAAGAUAUUUGAACCGCCAGAUAAAGCAUUUACCAGAUGAGCGAAGAUGCUACAAUAAGAAAGCCUUACGUGCAGCGAACCAGUUAGAAGCUGGCACAUAAGCCAGUUAGAAAGCCUUUUGGCGUGUAGUUAGUCCUAUGAGAAAUAAUUCCCUUCAAUUGAAAAGAAUGGUAAAUUGACUGCCCUGUAAUAAGCUGCUGACUAGUGUUUCCGCCUUUUGGCCUGCUUCCUUUCGAGCCUCUGCUGUGCUCUCUGAAAUUCAUCUUCUGUGGGCUCGUGAGUAGCCAACCCACCACACUUAGAUAUAAUGGGCGAAAUUAUUGAGUCAAACUGUUCUUUCCUUCGUCUCCUGCGCUGCGUAACGUCAGCAAUCAAAAAGAAUGUUUUCUAGUAAUGUUGCGCACCAAGCAUGCUCGUAGCGAGAGAACUCACUUCGCUCUUCUCACCAGAGGAUCAAUUGGUAGUCUAGUUUCAGAAACUCGUUUUGCCCGUUUCUUGUAUGCCUUUGUUGUUUUAAGUUCUCCUGCAGAUUAAAUACAAUCAAUUUGAUUAAUGUAAGAGCAUACCACAAGACAUGAUUUUCAAAACAAGCAAUCUAUCUAUUAGCACAGGAAGUCCGAAAGAGAUUAUUAACAGCAAGACUGGAAUAUUACCAUGCAAUCAUGAAAUUGUAUUCUAAAUAACCGGGAGAUCGUUGGUUGCCAUUUUGGAGAUGAAGUGGAAAUUUUACUGGCUUCAUUGCUCACUUUAAUUGGGAACUGAAUCAUACUACAAUUAUGAACCCCAAGUGAUAGGUAUUGAUUAAGAAAACACAUCUCUGGCUAUUGCCUCAUUGAUAAUAUCCUCAAAUCUAUGUGAAUCCAAUUUGGGAUCAGAACACAGCAUCGAACAGAAAAGCGUGGUAUAAGAAGAGCAGUGUCAAUGAAGAUACUGAAGUGCAACAAAAAUAUCACAAAGUACCUGCAGAAACAGGUCAAACUAUAUAUUCUUCCAUCUUGUUUACCUUCUCAUAUUUCGCUUGAAUUUUUUGUAAAGAGCCUUUAAAUCCUUCUUCUCAGAAUCUGAUCCCCUCUAGUUGGUUUCAAAUUCUUCAAUAUCAGCCUCAGUGACCUUAGGUAGAUCGAGAAAGACUUGGUUAGAGCUAAAAGCUAGCAGGUGAUAGUCAGUAAAAUUUAGCUCUUGUGAGCCAUCUGGAACAGCUAAACAAACAGUACCUUUCUGAACAUCGAUCUGAAAGAACGGCUGCAGAUUCUCAGCAGCUUCACUAGAGAAGACCUGAUCAGUGUGGAAAAAUAAUAAGAUAGGAUGCCAAGGACAAGUGAUUUAAGGAGAUUGAAAGUGUGGCAUCUUAUGACAUACAACACCUUCAACACUAUCUGGCUGGAUCGCAACAAUAGAAUCUUCGGAAAAAAAAAAAAAGCCUCCCCGAGACAGCUUCUAGCGACCUUCCGCUCGCUCCAUCCGUUCCUCUAGGACUCUUAGGUGUCUCACUUUGUAGCUUAGUUCAUCUUUUUAAUGAAUGAAGCGGAGCAAGCUACCCCUUUCUUUAAAAAAAAAAACAUCGUCAACACAACCAGUUUGAUCAUAUAUUGCCUGUUUCUCCUCAUCACCAAGAACUGACAUAACAUUCUGUAAAUCUGAAACUUUUCUUUGGCUUCCUAGGUUAAAAAAAAUCAACAAAUCAGCCAAAUGAGCAAAAAAGGGGACAAAAAUUUAAAAAAAAGGAGGGAACCCUGGAAGAAAUUGCAUACCUUGUCCCGACGUUUCUUAUCUGGUGGAGGUGCAAGGCCAACUUGUAGUACGCCUUCUUGAUUUCUUGUUGUGAGGCUGUUCUUUCCAUACCAAGGAUCUGAAAGAAACCAAUUUCAAGUUGGUGAGCUUUGUUUUCUAAGGGAUGAUAUUAGGUUCAUAUUCAAGCCCAGGUUCAUAUCCAAGAAACCAAGUUCAAGUUCGACGAGUUUCUCCUAAAGAUACAUGUGGCUCACCAUAAAGUUUUACUUAUCAAGUGUUCAUUUGAGGAUCAUAUAAAAAAUAGUCUUGAGUCUCCAUUAUAUACUAUAUUUGGCAUAAUGUUCAAUGUGCGUGUAAGACGCCAUUAAGACUGUACAGCAUCAAACGUAUGUUCACCAUGCUAGGAGCACUUCUCCAAAUCUGUCUAAUCCAUUCCAUAAAAGAAUGAGAAUGGAAGGAAAAAAAAAAAAUAAUAAUAAUAAUAAUAAUAAUCUAAUUCUCUGGGGAACGACAUAUCAACCUGCACAGUCGAUGGAAUUGAUCAAUUAUCAGCAACCCAUUAAUCACACUAAUUAUUGUUCUUUUGUUCGCAUUUCAUUAUCCAAUCACUCUAUCAUGCUAAGUUUUAGAUUAAAGCACUUUGAAACAUGAAGAUUACACUAACAAGUCUAUACUUAUUGAUAAGCAAGAUAAGACUGCAUUAUUUGCCAAAAAUUGACCCAGAGAACGAAUCACAAUAGAGAACGAAUCAACACACGAGAGAGAUCAAAUCGAUCCCACAAAAGAGAUGUAGAAAGAAAAAGAUCAAGAAAUAGAUCGGAAUUAUACCUCGUAGAGGCUCUCCUCUGCAUCCAUGGAUUCUUCGUCGCGGACCUUUUCUCGAUGUUGCUUCUCAUCGCCUUUGGAAACCCUAGGUCUCUUCUUACGCUCCAUUUCGCGCGAGAACGAGAAGGUGAUCGAUUGGAAGGAAAGAGACAAAAAAAAUGUUUAAUAUCGGAGGGAGAAUGAGGGAGGGUUCGUUUCUUUUAUAUUCAGGGGCGGUACGUCAAAAAUCUCCCGCCCCUUUUUCGUCUGCGGUCGAGAUCCCGCUUGAGAGCAGUUCGCGGGUCGGAAGUGUUGAGAUUCGUGCAACGAUUGUUCUCGGGUUCAUUGAAUCGCGAGCCGGGUCGGAUGCAAUCGAUCAUUGUUCGAAUCUCCAUCGGGAGAACGCGGGCAUGCGGACAAAGCGAAAUUUGAACUCGGCGAUAGCCACAUUGUACAGUAGAGUCGGUGACGAAAUACCAUAUACUGAGGAUUUUGUUUUAUAAUUAAAUCCGGUUGUGUCAUGUGGCACCUCUCCGGUCUCCUCUGCCAACUAAUAAACCGAAGUCGGCGUCUUGUUACGCAUUUUUGCUGUGUUUCUGAUUACGGCUUGAAAACAGAUGCAUAGUAUUUCUUCAAAAAAUAAAAUAAAAUAAAAUAAAAAAUUUGGAAACACCUAGGCUUCGUUUGGUUUGCGGUUAAGUAAGAACUAGUUAUUUCAGGAAUAGGAUUAAAUUUAAGGUUAAGGUAAGGUUAAAGUAAUUUUGUGUUUGGUUGAGAAUUGGAUUUAGUGUGUUUGGUUGGAGUAGGUGGAAUAAAAAGAUAAAGGAUUAUUAUAAAUAGAAAAUAAUAAUUUUAUCUUAAUUUUUAUAUUUGAAUUUAAAUUUAAAUUUAAAAUUUAAAUAAUUAAAAAUAAUAAUUUUAAAUUUUAAAUAUAUAAUUNUUCUCUGGGGAACGACAUAUCAACCUGCACAGUCGAUGGAAUUGAUCAAUUAUCAGCAACCCAUUAAUCACACUAAUUAUUGUUCUUUUGUUCGCAUUUCAUUAUCCAAUCACUCUAUCAUGCUAAGUUUUAGAUUAAAGCACUUUGAAACAUGAAGAUUACACUAACAAGUCUAGACUUAUUGAUAAGCAAGAUAAGACUGCAUUAUUUGCCAAAAAUUGACCCAGAGAACGAAUCACAAUAGAGAACGAAUCAACACACGAGAGAGAUCAAAUCGAUCCCACAAAAGAGAUGUAGAAAGAAAAAGAUCAAGAAAUAGAUCGGAAUUAUACCUCGUAGAGGCUCUCCUCUGCAUCCAUGGAUUCUUCGUCGCGGACCUUUUCUCGAUGUUGCUUCUCAUCGCCUUUGGAAACCCUAGGUCUCUUCUUACGCUCCAUUUCGCGCGAGAACGAGAAGGUGAUCGAUUGGAAGGAAAGAGACAAAAAAAUGUUUAAUAUCGGAGGGAGAAUGAGGGAGGGUUCGUUUCUUUUAUAUUCAGGGGCGGUACGUCAAAAAUCUCCCGCCCCUUUUUCGUCUGCGGUCGAGAUCCCGCUUGAGAGCAGUUCGCGGGUCGGAAGUGUUGAGAUUCGUGCAACGAUUGUUCUCGGGUUCAUUGAAUCGCGAGCCGGGUCGGAUGCAAUCGAUCAUUGUUCGAAUAUCCACCGGGAGAACGCGGGCAUGCGGACAAAGCGAAAUUUGAACUCGGCGAUAGCCACAUUGUACAGUAGAGUCGGUGACGAAAUAUCAUAUACUGCGGAUUUUGUUUUAUAAUUAAAUCCGGUUGUGUCAUGUGGCACCUCUCCUCUGCCAACUAAUAAACCGAAGUCGGCGUCUUGUUACGCAUUUUUGCCGUGUUUCUGAUUACGGCUUGAAAACAGAUGAAUAGUAUUUCUUCAAAAAAUAAAAUAAAAUAAUUUGGAAACACCUAGGCUUCGUUUGGUUCGCGGUUAAGUAAGAACUAGUUAUUUCAGGAAUAGGAUUAAACUCAGGGUUAAGGUAAGGUUAGAGUAAUUUUGUAUUUGGUUGAGAAUUGGAUUUAGUUCAGAUAUAAGUAAAAUAGUGUUUGGUUGGAAUAGGUAGAAUAAAAAGGAUAGAGGGUUAUUAUAAAUAGAAAAUAAUAAUUUUAUCUCAAUUCUUAUAUAUAUAUAUAUAUAUAUAUAUAUAUAUAUAUAUAUAUUAAAUAAGUAUGAGAUUAACUUAAUCUCACCGUAUUCCUGGGCCCCACCCCUAAAAUUUUUUUUUUUGGGAGUAAAAGGGGGGGGAUAACCUCUUAUCCCCCCUUUUAACCUCCAGCCAAAUGGGGGCCUAAUGAAUUGGGUGGCAAAGCUUCGUUGUUUGGUUAACGUGCGCCUAAUUGAUGGAGAUUCGUGUGGGAAUAGCAUGUUGAAAGAUCAAAUGUUUCUAGUAUGGAUAAUAUAUUAUACAUUCAAAUACAAAAAUGGAAAAAAUAUAAGAUCUAUUACACCAAGAGAGACAAGAGAUUAUUUUUUAAAACUAAAAAGAAGAUUCACACCAAGAGAGAGACAAUCUUUCAAAACCAAAAAAAAGAAAAAACAAGCGUGGAAGAGGAAAUCACGAAAUUACCUUAUGGUAAAUUAUAAUGAUGCUCCUUGAAUUUUUCUUCAUUUUGAAAUAUAACGGUAGAUAAACAGCACCUAUGUUUCUAUAAAUAUUAUUUUCGUAGUCAUUUUUCAUUACUAUUGCUAACUCUAUAUUGCUGUCGUGAGCUGCUAUAAUUUUUUUAAGAUAAAAAUUUAUAGAAAUUAUUGUGAUUUGGCUAGCUAAUCUUUUAAAAUUUUAAUUUUACUAUCCAAUCUAUCAAUUUAUUUGAUUUGAAUCAUUCAACAGUAUUUUAAUUUUAAAAUUUAAGCUAAUUACUUACUUUAAUAAAUUUAUAAUUAUAAAAAUUAUAUGUAUUAUACUAACUAAAAUUUAUAAAAAUAAAUGAAUCAUUCAAGUUUUUAAAGUCAAAAUCUCACUGACUGAUUCAAAUCAAAUAAAAAAAAAAAGCUAAAUAAUA